GAUGAACGCUGGCGACGUGCCUAAUACAUGCAAGUCGAGCGAACGGACGAGAAGCUUGCUUCUCUGAUGUUAGCGGCGGACGGGUGAGUAACACGUGGAUAACCUACCUAUAAGACUGGGAUAACUUCGGGAAACCGUAGCUAAUACCGGAUAAUAUUUUGAACCGCAUGGUUCAAAAGUGAAAGACGGUCUUGCUGUCACUUAUAGAUGGAUCCGCGCUGCAUUAGCUAGUUGGUAAGGUAACGGCUUACCAAGGCAACGAUGCAUAGCCGACCCGAGAGGGUGAUCGGCCACACUGGAACUGAGACACGGUCCAGACUCCUACGGGAGGCAGCAGUAGGGAAUCUUCCGCAAUGGGCGAAAGCCUGACGGAGCAACGCCGCGUGAGUGAUGAAGGUCUUCGGAUCGUAAAACUCUGUUAUUAGGGAAGAACAUAUGUGUAAGUAACUGUGCACAUCUUGACGGUACCUAAUCAGAAAGCCACGGCUAACUACGUG
rnacentral:rRNA from 1 species